rnacentral:rRNA from 1 species
AGAGUUUGAUCCUGGCUCAGGAUGAACGCUGACAGAAUGCUUAACACAUGCAAGUCUACUUGAUCCUUCGGGUGAAGGUGGCGGACGGGUGAGUAACGCGUAAAGAACUUGCCUUACAGACUGGGACAACAUUUGGAAACGAAUGCUAAUACCGGAUAUUAUGAUUGGGUCGCAUGAUCUGGUUAUGAAAGCUAUAUGCGCUGUGAGAGAGCUUUGCGUCCCAUUAGUUAGUUGGUGAGGUAACGGCUCACCAAGACGAUGAUGGGUAGCCGGCCUGAGAGGGUGAACGGCCACAAGGGGACUGAGACACGGCCCUUACUCCUACGGGAGGCAGCAGUGGGGAAUAUUGGACAAUGGACCAAAAGUCUGAUCCAGCAAUUCUGUGUGCACGAUGAAGUUUUUCGGAAUGUAAAGUGCUUUCAGUUGGGAAGAAGUCAGUGACGGUACCAACAGAAGAAGCGACGGCUAAAUACGUGCCAGCAGCCGCGGUAAUACGUAUGUCGCAAGCGUUAUCCGGAUUUAUUGGGCGUAAAGCGCGUCUAGGCGGCUUAGUAAGUCUGAUGUGAAAAUGCGGGGCUCAACCCCGUAUUGCGUUGGAAACUGCUAAACUAGAGUACUGGAGAGGUAGGCGGAACUACAAGUGUAGAGGUGAAAUUCGUAGAUAUUUGUAGGAAUGCCGAUGGGGAAGCCAGCCUACUGGACAGAUACUGACGCUAAAGCGCGAAAGCGUGGGUAGCAAACAGGAUUAGAUACCCUGGUAGUCCACGCCGUAAACGAUGAUUACUAGGU